CGGUUCAUCCUCCUUUCUUUCAGAGCUGUGCUCCUAAAAGCAAAACAGCACUCGGGGCUGCUGGCUACAAAGCAGAAAGCAUGCACACAACUGGUGGGACUAAAGGAGCAGCGCCGAGGAAGCAUUUAUCUUCAUGUUAUCUCCUAAUUUAAGAUCCAUUCUGGCAAAACUUCACUUCUUCUGCUUAAGCUGCAAUGUCAAGCUGCAAAUACUCAGCAGCUGAGGAGCCGAGAUGGAGGGAAGCCAAUGGUGAAUCCUGUCACCCAUUUCCAGAGUGUAAGAUGCAGCAGCAUCGCUCAGCUCAGCAUGGGAUGGAAACAUAGCAGGGAUUUGGCUGUACUCCUGCUCCUACCAUUCAUUCUCUUCAGCUGGGAUUACAGGAGCUGAGGAAAAGCAGAUCUCAGUCAGGCAAUAGAGCUGACAAAUUCUGGUCGGAAACAUCCGCAGACGUGACAGCAGUAGCCUUUUACAGAAGCUGUUUGGAACUGGCCACAGAUCUGGGCAUACAAGCCUCAGCAAAAUCUCAUUCAGUGGACACUGAGCACAUAUACCACCGGUACAUCCUGGGGACAUGUCACUUUGACUCAUUCUGUGCUGUCACUGUGCUGGUUCUGCAGCCCCUAGCUACACAUGCCAGUGAUCUAGAGCUGUGGCAGGAGGUUACAGUGGUAAGCAAAGGUGACAAACAUCUCCUAAAAGUGGAAAUCAAUUUUGCUAAUGUUAUCCUGGCCACAGCUUUAUACCCACUUCUCCAUGUUAAAGAAGGAUAUUAUGGAAGAUACAAGAAGUGUGAUGGCUUGUUGCCAUGGGCAGUAGGGGAUUCCAUCAUCUUGAUCCAGGAGGACUGCUUACAAGCUCAGGUAAUGCAACAGAACAGUGACUGACUUAGGCUCUUUGCUGUGCAAGGCAAGAAGUUCUGCCAUGUUUUCACUCUGAAGUUUUCACGGCUUCAGUAUUAAAAUGCCUCACAUGAAAGGACGUUCACCUUUUCUUUCUCCACAGCGUAAGCCACAGCUUGUGGAAGCCAAAGGCUUCAAGCGUGAUAUAGGACCACACUGCUAUAUCUCUUGUCAGCUGAGGUUUAGAAAAAACAAAUGCACAAAACCCAAAACCUUCCCCCAAACCCAUAAACACUGCAGUCUGUAAAGCAAGGGUUGAAGUGUGAACUGCACUGUUCUCACGGUGGGGAGGAGAGGAAACAACUUAUACCAUUGCAGCUACUGCUGUUAAUGCCAAGAUUCAAAGAAGAAAGAAGAUGAUUAUGAUAUGUUAGACAGGCUCAAAGACCUGCUUCUGUCUCUUUCUGCUACUGGCAUUUGUAUUUCAUAGUAUACUGUGUGUCCAUGUCCCUGAGAGCUUGUCCCUGGGAGAGCUAAAUCCUCCCCACACUAAGACUGAUAGUAGACAAAAUAUUUUCUGUUCUCCUACAGUCUGUGUUAAGUCAAUAUUGCCCAGAGAAGUUGUGGAUGUCCCCUUCUGAAGAUGUUCAAGGCCAGGUGGGUUGGGGCUUUGGGCAUCCUAGUGUAGUGGAAAAUGUCCCUGCUCAUGGCAGGCAGUUGGAAACGGGUGACCUUUAAGUCCUCCUCCAACCCAAACCAUUCUAUGGUUGUAUGAUAUCCCAGCUUUAGUCAUUGACCUAAACCAUCCUAGGUACUUGAAGGCAGGCCUUCAUUUAACUUUUUAGUUUCCAUGCUUAUGUUUCAUAGCAUUAUGGAUUUGGGAUAUUUUUACCCUAUACCAACACAUCUUGUAUGUUCCUAGCCAUUGGAUUAGAAUUUAGGUUUCCAUUUUUUUGUUAGUAGCUACUUUUACGUAGAGCACUGGUGUGUUAUCAUGUAAAUCAAUGGACAUGUUCUUCAAUCUCAC